UUCUAUUGAUGAUUUUGCUCUUGCGAUUAAAAGACCUUUUCCCUUAUCAGUUGGAUUCGUUGCUCAAUAUGUCCUGAAGCCAGCUCUUGGUUUGUUGUUAGCACAGGCAUUUGGAAUGCCUACAACGUUCUACGCUGGUUUUGUCCUUGUGUCUUGUGUUGCAGGGGCUCAAUUAUCAAGUUACGCCAGCUUCUUGAGCAAAAGUGAUGUGGCAUUCAGUAUUCUCUUGACCAGUACAAGUACUAUUGCUUCAGUUCUUGUUACUCCACUUUUAACUGGCCUUCUUAUUGGUUCAGUCGUUCCAGUUGAUGCAGUUGCAAUGGCAAAGUCAAUCUUACAGGUUGUUCUUCUCCCCGUCGCUCUUGGCUUAGUGCUGAACACCUAUGCCAAACCAGUAGUAUCUGUUAUUCAACCUGUGAUGCCAUUUGUUGCCAUGAUUUGUACUUCACUGUGUAUUGGCAGCCCUCUUGCAAUCAAUCGCGCUCAGAUUCUUUCUGCUGAGGGUGCAAAAUUGAUCGCUCCCGUACUGACAUUUCAUGGAAUGGCAUUUGCGUUGGGAUAUUGGCUCUCAAAACUUCCAAUUUUGAGGUUUGAAGAAGAAAUGUGCAGGACAAUUUCUUUAUGCACAGGAAUGCAGAGCUCUACACUGGCGGGGUUACUUGCAACUCAAUUCCUUGGAAGCAGUCAAGCGGUACCACCUGCAUGUUCUGUUGUUGCAAUGGCUAUAAUGGGCCUUUGUCUUGCCUCAUUUUGGGGCAGUGGAUACCGGAUCAGGGACAUUCCAUCCAUUCUGUUUCCAUCAAAUGCUUCGACUAUCAAGCCUUCACUGUAAGCUAGAGAUUGGUAUAUAGAGAAUAGGAUACUUAGUAGAAAGGUAGAUGUCCUUUCAGGAUUAGGCAAAUUAAUUAACUUAAAUGCAGUAGAAUGGCUAAAUGAGAUAG
rnacentral:misc_RNA from 1 species